ACCUGCCCUAUGAUUAGUUUUAAAUGGCUGCAGUAAUUUGACUGUACAAAGGUAGCAUAAUCAUUAGUUUUUUAAUUGGGAACUGGUAUGAAAGGUCGAACGAGAAAAAAACUGUCUCAAUUUAAUUUUAAUUAGAAUUUUAUUUUUAAGUUAAAAAGCUUAAAUAAUUUUAAAAGACGAGAAGACCCUAUAGAGUUUUAUAUUUAAAUAUUUAUAUAAAAAAUUAAAGAAUUAUUAUUUUUUAUAGAUAUUUAAGUAUUUAAUUGGGGCGAUUAAAAAAUUAAAAUAACUUUUUUUAAAAAUUAAACAUUGAUAUAUGAAUAAUUGAUCCAUAUUUAAUGAUUAUAAGAUU
rnacentral:rRNA from 1 species